rnacentral:lncRNA from 1 species
AUCUUGAGGUACUAAGGGAGAUUGUGUGUUCUGGAUGAUGAUGGGUUAUGAGAAAGGAUCUUGACUGAGUCUCAUGAGUUGAUGUGUACGGUUCAUCCAAGUUCGAUAAAAAUGUAUCUCAAUUUGAAGGAGAUUUAUUAGUGGAACAACAUAAAGAGAGAUAUGUCUAAUUUUGUGGCUAAGUGUAUGGUUUGUCAACAAGUGAAGGUGGAGCACUUGAGGCCUGGUGGGUUAUCU